UACGUAGGGUGCAAGCGUUAAUCGGAAUUACUGGGCGUAAAGCGUGCGCAGGCGGUUAUGCAAGACAGAGGUGAAAUCCCCGGGCUCAACCUGGGAACUGCCUUUGUGACUGCAUAGCUAGAGUACGGUAGAGGGGGAUGGAAUUCCGCGUGUAGCAGUGAAAUGCGUAGAUACGCGGAGGAACACCGAUGGCGAAGGCAAUCCCCUGGACCUGUACUGACGCUCAUGCACGAAAGCGUGGGGAGCAAACAGGAUUAGAUACCCUGGUAGUC
rnacentral:rRNA from 1 species